rnacentral:rRNA from 1 species
CAGCACCUCAAGUGGUCAGGAUGAUUAUUGGGCCUAAAGCAUCCGUAGCCGGCGCUGUAAGUUUUCGGUUAAAUCUGUACGCUCAACGUACAGGCUGCCGGGAAUACUGCAGCGCUAGGGAGUGGGAGAGGUAGACGGUACUCGGUAGGAAGGGGUAAAAUCCUUUGAUCUAUUGAUGACCACCUGUGGCGAAGGCGGUCUACCAGAACACGUCCGACGGUGAGGGAUGAAAGCUGGGGGAGCAAACCGGGUUAGAUACCCGAGUAGUCC